rnacentral:rRNA from 1 species
AUACGGAGGGUCCAAGCGUUAUCCGGAAUCAUUGGGUUUAAAGGGUCCGCAGGCGGUCAAUUAAGUCAGAGGUGAAAGCCCAUCGCUCAACGAUGGAACUGCCUUUGAUAAUGGUUGACUUGAGUUAUACGGAAGUAGAUAGAAUAAGUAGUGUAGCGGUGAAAUGCAUAGAUAUUACUUAGAAUACCGAUUGCGAAGGCAGUCUACUACGUAUAUACUGACGCUGUGGGACGAAAGCGUGGGGAGCAAACAGGAUUAGAAACCCUAGUAGUCC